AUCUAGCUGACGAGUCCUAAAUAGGAUGAAACGCAUGUCAUGGAU
rfam:Schistosoma margrebowiei strain Zambia genome assembly, scaffold: SMRZ_contig0001546